rnacentral:rRNA from 1 species
GUCAUAUGCUUGUCUCAAAGAUUAAGCCAUGCAUGUCUAAGUAUAAACAAAUAUAUACUGUGAAACUGCGAAUGGCUCAUUAAAUCAGUUAUAGUUUAUUUGAUGGUACCUUACUACAUGGAUAACUGUGGUAAUUCUAGAGCUAAUACAUGCCGAAAAGCCCCAACCUCUGGAAGGGGUGUAUUUAUUAGAUAAAAAACCAAUGGCCUCCGGGUCUUCUUGGUGAAUCAUGAUAACUGCUCGAAUCGCAUGGCCUUGUGCCGGUGAUGCUUCAUUCAAAUAUCUGCCCUAUCAACUGUCGAUGGUAGGAUAGAGGCCUACCAUGGUGAUGACGGGUAACGGGGAAUAAGGGUUCGAUUCCGGAGAGAGGGCCUGAGAAACGGCCCUCAAAUCUAAGGAUUGCAGCAGGCGCGCAAAUUACCCAAUCCCGACACGGGGAGGUAGUGACAAUAAAUAACAAUAUAGGGCUCUUUAGGGUCUUAUAAUUGGAAUGAGUACAAUUUAAAUCCCUUAACGAGGAUCAAUUGGAGGGCAAGUCUGGUGCCAGCAGCCGCGGUAAUUCCAGCUCCAAUAGCGUAUAUUAAAGUUGUUGACGUUAAAAAGCUCGUAGUCGAACUUCGGCCUCUGAUGGCUGGUCCGCCUUUUGGUGUGUACUGGUCUAUCGGAGGCUUACUUCUUGGUGAACUUUGAUGCUCUUUACUGGGUGUCGGAGGGAACCAAGACUUUUACUUUGAAGAAAAUAGAGUGUUCAAAGCAGGCCUAUGCCGAAUACAUUAGCAUGGAAUAAUAGAAUAGGACGUGCGGUCCUAUUUUGUUGGUUUCUAGGAUCGCCGUAAUGAUUAAUAGGGAUAGUUGGGGGCAUUUGUAUUACAUCGACAGAGGUGAAAUUCUUGGAUUGAUGUAAGACAAACUACUGCGAAACGAUUUGCCAAGGAUGUUUUCAUUGAUCAAGAACGAAGGUUAGGGGAUCAAAAACGAUCAGAUACCGUUGUAGUCUUAACAGUAAACUAUGCCGACUGGGGAUCAGACAAGGCUUUAUAAUGACUUGUUUGGCACCCAAAGGGAAACCUUAAGUUUAGGUUCGUGGGGGAGUACGGUCACAAGGCUGAAACUUAAAGGAAUUGACGGAAGGGCACCACCAGGUGUGGAGCCUGCGGCUUAAUUUGACUCAACACGGGGAAACUCACCAGGUCCAGACACAAUAAGGAUUGACAGAUUGAUAGCUCUUUCUUGAUCUUGUGGUUGGUGGUGCAUGGCCGUUCUUAGUUGGUGGAGUGAUUUGUCUGGUUAAUUCCGAUAACGAACGAGACCUUCUCCUGCUAAAUAGCCCGGCUGGCUACGGCUGGCUGUUGGCUUCUUAGAGGGACUAUCGACGUUUAGUCGAUGGAAGUUGGAGGCAAUAACAGGUCUGUGAUGCCCUUAGAUGUUCUGGGCCGCACGCGAGCUACACUGACCGAGCCAGCGAGUCUAUCACCUUAUCCGGAAAGGAUUGGGUAAUCUUGUGAAACUCGGUCGUGAUGGGGAUAGAGCAUAGCAAUUAUUGCUCUUCAACGAGGAAUACCUAGUAAGCGUAUGUCAUCAGCAUGCGUUGAUUACGUCCCUGCCCUUUGUACACACCGGCCCGUCGUGCUACCGAUUGAAUGGCUUAGUGAGGCGU